CAUUGGUCAACCUUAGCUGGAAGGUUUUAUCAAUCUCUCCCUGUGAUGAAUUAGUACAUCUAAUGAAGAUGGAAAAGGGGAAAGUGGGUUUCUAUCAUCAUGUUGUCUGACAGUAGAGGAAUGAGGAGACUUGGACCCCUUCUGUCACAUACAGAGAUGUGAAUUGCUGCAGGAAGAAUGGACUAGCUUUUCAGCGCUUUCUAAAUAUGAAUGAUUCUGAUCCCAGCAUUCCAAUCCUUCUCUGUUCAAGUACUGUCUCCUCCCCACUCCUCCUCCCAAGCUUCUGAAUGGUGCCAAGUACAUCAAAACAGCAAGAGAAAACUGGAUAUCCAGCAGGGAAUGUAAAAUAAGCAGAUUCAGCAGGUGAAGGCUAUAAUGUGUAACACAGAAUGGAGGAGGGUGAAGAGGUGCUCUGAACAGCUGAAGCUCAG